AACGAACGCUGGCGGCAGGCUUAACACAUGCAAGUCGAACGCCCCGCAAGGGGAGUGGCAGACGGGUGAGUAACGCGUGGGAAUCUACCCAGUUCUACGGAACAACUGAGGGAAACUUCAGCUAAUACCGUAUACGCCCCAAGGGGGAAAGAUUUAUCGGAAUUGGAUGAGCCCGCGUUAGAUUAGCUAGUUGGUGGGGUAAUGGCCUACCAAGGCGACGAUCUAUAGCUGGUCUGAGAGGAUGAUCAGCCACACUGGGACUGAGACACGGCCCAGACUCCUACGGGAGGCAGCAGUGGGGAAUAUUGGACAAUGGGCGCAAGCCUGAUCCAGCCAUGCCGCGUGAGUGAUGAAGGCCUUAGGGUUGUAAAGCUCUUUCAGUAGGGACGAUAAUGACGGUACCUACAGAAGAAGCCCCGGCUAACUUCGUGCCAGCCGCCGCCGUAAAAC
rnacentral:rRNA from 1 species